rnacentral:rRNA from 1 species
GACGAACGCUGGCGGCGUGCUUAACACAUGCAAGUCGAACGGAAAGGCCCUGCUUUUGUGGGGUGCUCGAGUGGCGAACGGGUGAGUAACACGUGAGUAACCUGCCCUUGACUUUGGGAUAACUUCAGGAAACUGGGGCUAAUACCGGAUAGGAGCUCCUGCUGCAUGGUGGGGGUUGGAAAGUUUCGGCGGUUGGGGAUGGACUCGCGGCUUAUCAGCUUGUUGGUGGGGUAGUGGCUUACCAAGGCUUUGACGGGUAGCCGGCCUGAGAGGGUGACCGGCCACAUUGGGACUGAGAUACGGCCCAGACUCCAACGGGAGGCAGAAGUGGGAAAUAUUGCACAAUGGGCGGAAGCCUAAUGCAGGAACGCCGCGUGCGGGAUGACGGCCUACGGGUUUUAAACCGUUUUCGCCUGUGACGAAGCGUGAGUGACGGUAAUGGGUAAAGAAGCACCGGCUAACUACGUG